UUCCAAAGUGUUCAGUUCAGGGCAGCUUUCCUGUUCUGUUAAUUAAACUCUGGGACAUUGAAACACAGGCUUUGGAGAGAUGAUUGGAUGGAUAGAAAGCAUUGCUCUAUUCAUUUACCUCCCAGCCUACAAAA